AUAUAUAGAAGAGGUUAAAAUUUCACCUCUAAAGGUAAAAAUUAAUCAGUAAGAUAAAGAGAAAUGAACAUAAAUACCAGAGUACAAUAGUUUCAAAAUUAUUAUGGCACAUGGUGACCUCAAAAAAUACAUCAAUCUGUUUGAAAUACUAUCAAAUCUAUGUUAAUG